rnacentral:snRNA from 1 species
CCUGCUGUGCUAAUGAUACAGAGAAGAUUAGCAUGCCCCCUUAGCAAGGAUGACACACAAAUGGAAUACUAUAACAAUAAGUUG